rnacentral:lncRNA from 1 species
GGAAUGUUUAGAUUUAUCUGUUUCAGCCAACACAAUGUCAGUUUGACUCUUUGCCUGACUGUAUAGUACAACACAUUUGUUUCUCUUCUUUGCAGUGAACAUCUUUUCCGACAGCUGUGCGCCAUACACUGGCUUUUGGAAGCUUUGACUCUUGAAUCCAACAGUUCAAUGCGUUCUAUAUUCACCUGUUGGAAUCCAACCCCUACAGAAAGUCAACCUGGUAACACGUGAAGAAGGAUCAAAAGAUGUCCAUAAACAAGAUGAUCUGGUUAAGAAGACUGGAGUGCAGCGUUUGUUGCCAGCGGCUCAGAAGAAUUACGGGGUAAAAAUGCCAUUCAUUAAGGACCAAGAGAGUUUACUAUCAAGGAAGCAGAGACCCAGAAGGCAGAGGUAAGGGUACAAAUCUGUUUUUAAGCACAUUAUGUGCUUUAUAAACUCUGCUCUGUAUGUGGAAAGCAUUUGGCAUGCAAAUGUCAGCAU